GAUGAACGCUGGCGGCGUGCUUAACACAUGCAAGUCGAACGAAGCAUUUAGGACAGAUUACUUCGGUUUGAAGUUCUUUAUGACUGAGUGGCGGACGGGUGAGUAACGCGUGGGUAACCUGCCUUGUACUGGGGGAUAGCAGCUGGAAACGGCUGGUAAUACCGCAUAAGCGCACAAUGUUGCAUGACAUGGUGUGAAAAACUCCGGUGGUAUAAGAUGGACCCGCGUCUGAUUAGCUAGUUGGUGAGAUAACAGCCCACCAAGGCGACGAUCAGUAGCCGACCUGGGAGGGUGACCGGCCACAUUGGGACUGAGACACGGCCCAGACUCCUACGGGAGGCAGCAGUGGGGAAUAUUGCACAAUGGAGGAAACUCUGAUGCAGCGACGCCGCGUGAGUGAAGAAGUAAUUCGUUAUGUAAAGCUCUAUCAGCAGGGAAGAUAGUGACGGUACCUGACUAAGAAGCUCCGGCUAAAUACGUG
rnacentral:rRNA from 1 species